rnacentral:rRNA from 1 species
AUACGGAGGAUCCGAGCGUUAUCCGGAUUUAUUGGGUUUAAAGGGUGCGCAGGCGGCCAUUUAAGUCAGCGGUUAAAUCGUGGGGCUCAACCCCAUUCUGCCGUUGAUACUGGGUGGCUUGAUUGCGGUCGAGGUUGGCGGAAUUCGUUGUGUAGCGGUGAAAUGCAUUGAUAUGACGAAGAACACCGAUUGCGUAGGCAGCUGACCAGACCGCAAAUGACGCUCAUGCACGAAAGUGCGGGGAUCGAACAGGAUUAGAUCCCCUGGUAGUCUGCACAGUAAACGAUGAAUACUUGUCUUCGGCGAUAUAAUGUCGGAGGCAAAGCGAAAGCGAUAAGUAUUCCACCUGGGGAGUACGCCGGCAACGGUGAAACUCAAAUGAAUUGACGGGG